CAAUUAUUCAGAGCACAACCUGCAUUUUUCACUUCAGCUGAACGCCUGGUUUUGGAUUUUCUCCAAGCAGCAGUUCUUCUGAAUUGUUCUUCCCACCUCUCCCACCCCUCCACCCAUAUACCCCAAACCUCCACCCUUUCACCCACCCACAAAAAAAAAAAAAAAAAAAGUUCUUUUUCAAUACUAAGUUGAUCAUUUGUGUUCAAAUACUACUGUUCUUUUAAAAGUUCAGUCCUUUUAAUACUAGGUUAAUAAUUUGUUUAAUCUAUUGUUUUUUUUUCUUUGGAAAAAAAAGUUUUUCUAUUAAUAUUAGAUUCAUAAUUUGUUUUAUCUGCUACUGUUCUUUUUAUUAAAAAAAAGUUUAUUAGCUGUAUUUAUAAAAUCAUUAUUUUUCUUGUCAAUUAACUAACUUGUUUUUUUUCUUGAGAAUACUUUGCAGGUUGUAUCGCUCCAGCAUUUUGUGAAGGAUGCCUCGGAAAGGUAGGAGAUCACGGGCUCAAAAAGUUCGUAUGGACAAAGUUAGACCUGACGGGAACGAC